rnacentral:rRNA from 1 species
GACGAACGCUGGCGGCGUGCUUAACACAUGCAAGUCGAACGGAAAGACCCUGCUUUUGUGGGGUGCUCGAGUGGCGAACGGGUGAGUAACACGUGAGUAACCUGCCCUUGACUUUGGGAUAACUUCAGGAAACUGGGGCUAAUACCGGAUAGGAGCUCCUGCUGCAUGGUGGGGGUUGGAAAGUUUCGGCGGUUGGGGAUGGACUCGAGGCUUAUCAGCUUGUUGGUGGGGUAGUGGCUUACCAAGGCUUUGACGGGUAGCCGGCCUGAGAGGGUGACCGGCCACAUUGGGACUGAGAUACGGCCCAGACUCCUACGGGAGGCAGCAGUGGGGAAUAUUGCACAAUGGGCGGAAGCCUGAUGCAGCAACGCCGCGUGCGGGAUGACGGCCUUCGGGUUGUAAACCGCUUUCGCCUGUGACGAAGCGUGAGUGACGGUAAUGGGUAAAGAAGCACCGGCUAACUACGUG